rnacentral:rRNA from 1 species
CCUACGGGGGGCAGCAGUCGAGAAUCAUUCACAAUGGGGGAAACCCUGAUGGUGCGACGCCGCGUGGGGGAAUGAAGGUCUUCGGAUUGUAAACCCUUGUCAUGUGGGAGCAAAUUUAAAAGAUAGUACCACAAGAGGAAGAGACGGCCAACUCUGUGCCAGCAGCAGCGGUAAUACAGAGGUCUCAAGCGUUGUUCGGAACCACUGGGCGUAAAGCGUGCGGAGGCUGUUUCGUAGGUCGUGUGUGAAAGGCGCGGGCUCAACCCGCGGACGGCACAUGAUACUGCGAGGCUAGAGUAAAGGAGGGGGAACCGGAAGUCUCGGUGUAGCAGUGAAAUGCGUAGAUAUCGGGAGGAACACUCGUGGCGAAGGCGGGUUCCUGGACAUUAACUGACGCUGAGGCACGAAGGCCAGGGGAGCGAAAGGGAUUAGAUACCCGUGUAGUC